UACAGAGGGGGCAAGCGUUAUUCGGAAUUAUUGGGCGUAAAGGGCGCGUAGGCGGCUUCGCAAGUGGAAGGUGAAACUCCCUCGGCUUAACCGAGGAACUGCCCUCCAACUGCGUUGCUUGAGGCCGGGAGAGGUGAGUGGAAUUCCCAGUGUAGCGGUGAAAUGCGUAGAUAUCUGGAGGAACACCGGUGGCGAAGGCGACAUCCUGGACCGAUACUGACGCUGAGGAGCGAAAGCCAGGGGAGCAAACGGG
rnacentral:rRNA from 1 species